rnacentral:misc_RNA from 1 species
UGGCUCUCGCAUCGAUGAAGAACGCAGCGAAAUGCGAUAAGUAAUGUGAAUUGCAGAUUCAGUGAAUCAUCGAAUCUUUGAACGCACCUUGCGCCCUCUGGUAUUCCGGAGGGCAUGCCUGUUUGAGUGUCAUGUGAACUCAACCCCCCCGGGUUUCUGGGGAGGGUUUGGACUUGGGUGUUGCCAGUGACCUGGCUCGCCUCAAAUGCCUCAGUGGGAAAGGCCCCCCAGUGUCCAGGAGUAAUAAGUUUCUCCGUCGCACAAGGGGUCCGGACCGCUCACAACCUGGCACAGCGGGUGUCCCCAAUUGGGGAUCCCCCCUGGCCUCCAUGACUCUGACCUCAAAUCAGGUAGGACUACCCGCUGA